GGGAAGGCAGCUCUCACUGUGGAGCCUCGGUCACCAGAGUUCUCACCUUUAGAUUCAGGGGCCUUCAAGCUGUCAAAAGAGGGUAUGGUGAUGCUUCAAUUUGCACCCGCUGCUGGUGUUCGUCAAUAUGAUUGGAGUAGAAAGCAGGUCUUCUCGCUGUCAGUGACUGAAAUUGGAUCUAUCAUCAGCCUUGGGGCAAAAGAUUCAUGUGAGUUUUUCCAUGAUCCAAACAAAGGAAGAAGUGAUGAAGGUAGAGUCAGGAAAGUGUUGAAGGUUGAGCCACUUCCAGAUGGCUCCGGUCACUUCUUUAAUCUCAGUGUUCAGAACAAGCUUAUUAAUUUGGACGAGAACAUUUACAUCCCAGUUACAAAGGCAGAGUUCGC
rnacentral:misc_RNA from 1 species